GGGCUUGACAUCCCACGAACCUGCCCGAAAGGGUAGGGUGCCCGCAAGGGAGCGUGGAGACAGGUGGUGCAUGGCUGUCGUCAGCUCGUGUCGUGAGAUGUUGGGUUAAGUCCCGCAACGAGCGCAACCCUCACCCCUUGUUGCCACCGGGUAAUGCCGAGCACUCUAGGGGAACUGCCAGCGUCAAGCUGGAGGAAGGCGGGGAUGACGUCAAGUCAUCAUGCCCCUUACGCCCUGGGCUACACACGUGCUACAAUGGCUGGUACAAAGGGAUGCGAUACCGCGAGGUGGAGCUAAUCCCAAAAAACCGGUCUAAGUUCAGAUUGCAGUCUGCAACUCGACUGCAUGAAGGAGGAAUCGCUAGUAAUCGCGCAUCAGCACGGCGCGGUGAAUACGUUCCCGGGCCUUGUACACACCGCCCGUCACACCACGAAAGCCGGCUGUACUCGAAGUCGCUGAGAAUCG
rnacentral:rRNA from 1 species